AUGGACCUAGUUGAAUUAACUGGAUUGAAUAAUGCCAUGGUGGGUAUGGCAGGAGCAACAGGCCUGUCAGCCGAGCAGCGAAAAAGGCGAACACUAGCCGUGGAGUUGGUAGCUAGUCCUUCCAUCAUAUUUAUGGAUGAUUCGACCGCUGGUUUGGAUCCCUGUGCUACAGCAAUUGUCAUGAGAACAAUAAGAAAGACAGUAGACACUGGACGAACUGUUGUAUGCACAAUACAUCAGCCAAGCAUUGGGAUAUUUGAAUCAUUUGAUGAGCUUUUGCUUAUGAAAAGAGGCGGUCAAAUCAUAUAUAGUGGUUCAUUAGGUCCGUUGUCUAGCAACAUGAUCAAGUAUUUCGAGGGUAUACCUAGUGUUCCUAGAAUAAAAGAGGGACCAAAUCCAGCAUCAUGGGUAUUGGACAUAAGUUCACACACAACAGAAUAUGAUAUUGGAGUGGACUACGCAGAAAUUUAUCGGAGCUCCGACCUAUACAGGGACAAUAUGAAUCUAAUUACUGAGCUUGGGCACCCAAAACCAAACAUGGAGGAUCUAUAUUUUCACCGAGGAUACUGGUAG
rnacentral:rRNA from 1 species